rnacentral:rRNA from 2 species
GUGGAUUAGUGGCGAACGGGUGAGUAACACGUUGGGCAAUCUGCCCUUCACUCUGGGACAAGCCCUGGAAACGGGGUCUAAUACCGGAUAACACUCUGUCCCGCAUGGGACGGGGUUAAAAGCUCCGGCGGUGAAGGAUGAGCCCGCGGCCUAUCAGCUUGUUGGUGGGGUAAUGGCCUACCAAGGCGACGACGGGUAGCCGGCCUGAGAGGGCGACCGGCCACACUGGGACUGAGACACGGCCCAGACUCCUACGGGAGGCAGCAGUGGGGAAUAUUGCACAAUGGGCGAAAGCCUGAUGCAGCGACGCCGCGUGAGGGAUGACGGCCUUCGGGUUGUAAACCUCUUUCAGCAGGGAAGAAGCGAAAGUGACGGUACCUGCAGAAGAAGCGCCGGCUAACUACGUGCCAGCAGCCGCGGUAAUACGUAGGGCGCAAGCGUUGUCCGGAAUUAUUGGGCGUAAAGAGCUCGUAGGCGGCUUGUCACGUCGGAUGUGAAAGCCCGGGGCUUAACCCCGGGUCUGCAUUCGAUACGGGCUAGCUAGAGUGUGGUAGGGGAGAUCGGAAUUCCUGGUGUAGCGGUGAAAUGCGCAGAUAUCAGGAGGAACACCGGUGGCGAAGGCGGAUCUCUGGGCCAUUACUGACGCUGAGGAGCGAAAGCGUGGGGAGCGAACAGGAUUAGAUACCCUGGUAGUCCACGCCGUAAACGUUGGGAACUAGGUGUUGGCGACAUUCCACGUCGUCGGUGCC